rnacentral:tRNA from 1 species
CACCAGUGAAGCUAAACACGGGAUAAAUAGCGUUAGCCUUUUAAGCUAAAAAAUGGUGCCCCCCGAACACCCCUGGUGA